CUUUCCCACCACCCAGAAGGGCCUGUGGCAGGGACGGUGGGACCUCGGGUCUAUCCCAAAUGCCCCCUGCGAAGUGCUUAGUCCUCUGGGAGAUAUGAGGAGAAUCAGGAAGCCAAAGCCAGACUGUGGAGUGGGGGAGUCGGGGUUGGCAGGAAUGGAUUGGGCCGCAGCCCUCCACCCCCACCCCACCCCAAGGAGCUCGAAGUCCUCCCUUGCCGCUAAUCAGCUGUAACCCAGGGAACUGGCCAUGAAGAUGUGCCGCAGCAGCUGGUGACCUGAUGGGAUGUGCCCCCAGACCACUCUACCCUUCGGAUCACAGUCUGCAACCAUCCAUCCUCGGGAGCCUUGCAGAAGAGCCGCAGAUCUAGAGGAUGUUUUUGCUCUUGUUUUUAUUUUUUAAGCGGAAAGCCCGGAAUCUGAACAGUCCUGUGCACAGGGCCAGCUUCCUUUGAGAAUGAAGGGAGACGGGCUUGGCUGGCUUCCACCACGGGCUAGUUCACGCUGAGUGAGGGGAAAUGAGCUUACCCUGAUCCUGGCAGAAGAUAAGAAAGAGUCUCUGAGGGAUUCCUGGGUGGCGCAGCAGUUUGGCGCCUGCCUUUGGCCCAGGGUGCGAUCCUGGAGACCCGGGAUUGAAUCCCACGUCGGGCUCCCGGUGC